rnacentral:rRNA from 1 species
AACGCGAAGAACCUUACCUGGGUUGAACUACGCAGGAAAAGCUGCAGAGAUGUAGUGUCCGCAAGGGCCUGCGAUAGGUGGUGCAUGGCUGUCGUCAGCUCGUGUCGUGAGAUGUUGGGUUAAGUCCCGCAACGAGCGCAACCCUUGUCCUAUGUUGCCAGCGGGUAAUGCCGGGGACUCGUAGGAGACUGCCGGGGUCAACUCGGAGGAAGGUGGGGAUGACGUCAAGUCAUCAUGCCCCUUACGUCCAGGGCUGCAAACAUGCUACAAUGGCCGGUACAGAGGGCUGCUAUUCCGCGAGGAUGAGCGAAUCCCAAAAAGCCGGUCUCAGUUCGGAUUGGAGUCUGCAACUCGACUCCAUGAAGUCGGAGUCGCUAGUAAUCCCGGAUCAGCAACGCCGGGGUGAAUACGUUCCCGGGCCUUGUACACACCGAGUAUA